rnacentral:rRNA from 1 species
UACGUAGGGUGCAAGCGUUGUCCGGAAUUAUUGGGCGUAAAGAGCUCGUAGGCGGUUUGUCGCGUCUGCUGUGAAAACGCGAGGCUCAACCUCGCGCCUGCAGUGGGUACGGGCAGACUAAAGUGCGGUAGGGGAGAUUGGAAUUCCUGGUGUAGCGGUGGAAUGCGCAGAUAUCAGGAGGAACACCGAUGGCGAAGGCAGAUCUCUGGGCCGUAACUGACGCUGAGGAGCGAAAGCGUGGGGAGCGAACAGG